rnacentral:rRNA from 1 species
UACGUAGGGGGCAAGCGUUGUCCGGAUUUAUUGGGCGUAAAGAGCGUGUAGGCGGCCUGGCAGGUCUGCUGUGAAAACUCGAGGCUCAACCUCGAGAUGUCGGCGGAAACCGUCUGGCUAGAGUCCGGAAGAGGAGAGUGGAAUUCCUGGUGUAGCGGUGAAAUGCGCAGAUAUCAGGAAGAACACCCGUGGCGAAGGCGGUCUCUGGGACGGUACUGACGCUGAGACGACGAACGUGGGGAGCGAACAGG